rnacentral:misc_RNA from 1 species
AAGUCGUAACAAGGUUUCCGUAGGUGAACCUGCGGAAGGAUCAUUAUAGAAAUCGUGAUGGCUCGUGAAAGGUUGUUGCUGGUCCUACAGGGCAUGUGCACGCUUGGAUCGGGUUCGUUCAUCCUUUUCUUCCACACACCUGUGCACGAUCUGUAGCUUAGGGAUGAUCACGAAGUUGCUCUGUCGAUUUCGAAUGCCCUUCGCUAUGUAUUAUAACACACGCUCUAUGUAUUUUGGAAUGUUACGGAUAUAUGCGUGUUAACAAACGCAGAUGCAAUACAACUUUCAGCAACGGAUCUCUUGGCUCUC